AUUCUGAAAUAUAACCCGGAAGUUCUUCUUCCUGUGACAGCUUGAGACACCGGAAGCAUUCGUGGUUUUCGGUGACGCUGCAUUAGACUGCUCGACAUGGACCCGUUCAGACUCCUCGGCUUGCUCUUCCUCGGCCUGGCUCUCGGUGGAGCUCAGGCCCUCACGCCGUCGCACUACCUUUCCCAGUCUGACGUGGCGCGGCUAGAGAACCUCCUGAGCCGACCCUUCAGCGACCUGGAGUCGGCGUACUAUUCUGUUGUUGGUCUCAGUAAACUGGAAGCAGUUCUUCCUGAUCAUAAAGAAGUAUGUCACUUCCUGAAAUCCCAGCUCAACCCCACCAGUGUCGACUCUCUGUUCUUUGCCGCUGAAACCAGUCGAGCCAUCUCAGGAUGUGAGAUCCCUGUUUCCAAUGAAACUCGUGACAUCCUCCUGGCUGUGGUCAGCGAAGACUCGUCCAUGGCGCAGAUCCACCGGGCCGUGAGCGCCCUCAGUUCUCUGGGGCUCCCCCUUGCGUCACAGGAGGUCGUAGGCGCCCUGACAGCUCGCAUUAACAAGGAGGACAAUGUUGUGGCCAUCACCUUGGCUCUCCAAACCGCGUCUCGCCUUUCCCAGCAGGCAGAACUUGAAGGAAUUUUAGAGGAAAUUGAGGAUCUCACAGCUCGCCUGGAUGAUCUUGGCGGUAUUUAUCUCCAGUUUGAAGAAGGGCUGGAGGCGACCGCCCUGUUUGUGACGGCAGCGUAUGCUCUGUCAGAUCACAUGGACAUUGAACCUCCCUUUAAGGAGGACCAGGUCAUCCAGUUGGUUAACUCCAUCUUCAGCAAGAAAUCCUGGGACUCUCUGGCUGAAGCCUUCAGUGUCGCCAGUGCCGCCGCCGCCCUGUCCAACAACCGCUUCCACGUUCCCGUCCUCGUGAACACUCAAGGUCCCGCCACCGUGUCCCACAGCCAACCGACCCUGCAGCUUCUCAUCACCGACGUUCUGUCUCGACCUUUGAGGUCAGCCAACGUUCUCCUGGAAUCCGCACACGCCGUUCCCUCAAAGAGUGUGGUCUUGAGCCAGGAACCUUUCACUCUGAAGAAUGACGUCUUCGAGCUAAACUUCAUGGCGAAGCAGCCGCCCAGUGGCUAUUACCAGUUCUCUGUUGCUGUGGCGGGAGACAGCCGACUGGUUGCCAAUCAGGUGGAGCUCAAGGUGAAGGUGUCCACUGAGGUCGCCAUCACCAACAUGGACCUCUCUGUGGUGGACAAAGAUCAGAGCAUCGGCACCAAGACCACCAGGGUGGAUUAUCCCUCCAAAGCCAAGAGCUCCUUCACAGCAGACAGCCACCAGAACUUUGCCAUGUCCUUCCAGCUGGUGGACGUCAACACUGGAGUGGAGCUCAUCCCACACCAGACGUUCGUCCGGCUGCACAACCAGAAAACCGGCCAGGAGGUCGUGUUUGUGGCCGAGCCCGACAGCAAGAACCAGUACAAGUUUGAGCUGGACACGGCGGAGCGCAAGUCCGAGUUUGACUCCACGUCCGGCACCUACUCGCUCUACCUCAUCGUCGGGGACGCCACCCUGGAGAACCCCAUCCUGUGGAACGUGGCUGAUGUGGUCCUGAAGUUUGUGGACGAGGAAGCGCCGGCUACAGUUCAGUCAAAGACCCUUUACGUCCCCAAACCAGAGAUCCAGCAUCUGUUCAGAGAGCCGGAGAAGAAGCCUCCAACCGUGGUCUCCAACACCUUCACCGGCCUGGUUCUGUCUCCUCUGCUGCUGCUCCUCAUCCUGUGGUUGAAGCUCGGAGCAAACAUCUCCAACUUCAGCUUCUCCCCCAGCACCAUCCUGUUUCACGCCGGACACGCAGCUCUGCUUGGUCUCAUGUACGUCUACUGGACCCACCUGAACAUGUUUCAAACCCUCAAGUACCUGGCAAUCGUCGGCGGCGUAACCUUCCUUGCCGGGAACCGCAUGCUGGCUCAGAAAGCAGUGAAGAGGAUCGCUGCAGAGCAAAGUAGUAGGUUGGCAAAGUAUAGGAGUCUUCGGUAAAGCCCCUCCCCCCUCACCUUUUUUGUAAGAAAUGAGUCUUCUUCCGAGCUGAAAAUGGAAAAGAAAUAACGGCACGAAAACUAAAAAAAGAAGUCACCGACAAGACCUGUCUUUUGUUUGCAGUGAAACCAGACUAUUGAAAAAACUAAAUCAAUUGUCAAAAAUGCAGUUUUGUUCACUUGGCCAAAGGAACGAACGCUGACGACGGAGGACAGCUGAUCGCCGCCGCACUUCAUCUUCCAGUCAUAUUUGUGUUUUUUUUUUUUGUCAGCACGACAAUGGGCUGGGGUUUUAUUUGUGGUUUUUGAUAAGAUUUGGGAUUUUCUUUUUUGUACAUUCCUCUUUUGUUGUUGCUCCACCUCAGGAACGAAACUCAUUUUCCAGCAGAACCGUCAUCAGUAACACUGAUAUUUGGAUUGCCUGUGGUAGUCUCCUGUUUGAUACAGAUUAUGUCCCUGGGGAAAAAAAAGAAAAAUUGUGCAGAUUCCGAAUGUAAUUUUUUCGUUCUUUUUUUUUUUAAGGAAGAAGAGGAAUAAAGAAAAUGAGGUGAUCUGAAA